rnacentral:rRNA from 1 species
AUUGAACGCUGGCGGCAGGCCUAACACAUGCAAGUCGAGCGGAUGAAGGGAGCUUGCUCCUGGAUUCAGCGGCGGACGGGUGAGUAAUGCCUAGGAAUCUGCCUGGUAGUGGGGGAUAACGUCCGGAAACGGGCGCUAAUACCGCAUACGUCCUGAGGGAGCAAGUGGGGGAUCUUCGGACCUCACGCUAUCAGAUGAGCCUAGGUCGGAUUAGCUAGUUGGUGGGGUAAAGGCCUGCCAAGGCGACGAUCCGUAACCGGUCUGAGAGGAUGAUCAGUCACACGGGAACUGAGACACGGUCCAGAGUACUACGGGAGGCAGCAGUGUGGAACAGUGGACAAUGGGCGAAAGCCUGAUACAGCCAUGCCGCGUGUGUGAAGAAGGUCUUCGGAUUGUAAAGCACUUUAAGUUGGGAGGAAGGGCAGUAAGUUAAGACCUUGCGGUUUUGACGUUACCAACAGAAUAAGCACCGGCUAACUUCGUG